rnacentral:tRNA from 4 species
GAUAGCUCAGCUGGUAGAGCAG